rnacentral:rRNA from 1 species
CCUGUUGAGUUUAAGUAUAUCAAUAAGCGGAGGUAAAGAAACUAACAAAGAUUCUCCUAGUAAUGACAAACAAACUAGAAAAAACCCAACUUGAGAAUUGGAUGGCUCCAUCGUUCAGAUUGUAGUCUAGAGAAGCGUCAUCGACGGUGGACCGAGCUCAAGUCCUCUAGGAAGGGGUGCUAGAGAGGAUGAGAGCCCCGUUGUGCUCGAACCCUGUCGCAGCACGAAGCACUGUCGAUGAGUCAAGUCGUUUAGGAAUGCAGCCCCAAUCGAGCGGUAAAUUCCGUCCAAGGCUAAAUAUCGUGAGGAAAAGAUGAAAAGAACUUUGAAAAAAGAGUUAAAAAAGUGUUUGAAAUUAUCGGGAGGAAAGCGGAUGGGGGUCGACGAUACGUCCCAGUCGAAUGCGGAAUGGUGACGAGCCGAUCCUUCGAUCGACUCGGGGCGUGGACCAGCAUGAAUUGAGCUGGCGGCCAAAGCCUGGGCAAUCGAUCCCUGUGGAAUACCAUUGCCCCGAUUGUGGCUGACAAUGUACGCCCUCGACGUGCCUCGACAUCUGUGCACUCUUGGUGUUGGCUUGCGAGCUUCCUGUUCGACUGUCUUGAAACAUAG